GAGACAUCCAGUCCACACCGACCUUGGACGACCUUGAGCAGGCCUUUGUCCCUCUCCUCCCUCUUCAGCUGGAUCAUGUCCCCGGUGCGGGACAAGGCCUCCUUCAGCCUGCUGCCGUCCUCGAUCAGCGCCUCCAGCAUGUCAGGACUGGCCACGCUGGAAACCAGAGCCACCUCCUUCAGCACGGCCUGCGCCUGCUCCUCCUGCGCCUCCAGGGCGCCACACUGCCGCUGCAGCUGGUCCUGGAAGGUCGCGUGUGAGGCAUCGACUCUGCUGACGGAGCCCUGGAUGGUCUCCACAGCCGACUGGCACUCCUCGAUCUUCUGCGCCAGCUGGGUUUCCGUCACCUGAUGAAGACAUUGUAAGAGCCGGGUUCCCAGCGAGCACAUGUGGCGUGCAUGUUGACCUGUAGACUCACCUGCAGCUCCAGCGGGGACUCGGGGCUCUGCAGCAUCUCCUGGAUCUCUACAGACUUCCUGUGGAAGUGGUCGAUGUUCUCCUCGUUGACCUGGAUCUCGUCCUACAAAGCAAAGAAGAACGUCCGUACGGAUGACACGAAGGCGCCGAGCGGAUCUCCAUUAACCUCGAACAUCCGAACCCACUGACAGGGACCCUGUAAGGGAAUCUUACCCUCAUGGCCAGAACCUGUUGUUCGUUGUGGAAGGGAUGGCUCUCUGCGAACAGGGGGUAGGAGCUCACGUCCAGCCAGUUGUCCACCAGUGUGUCGGCCUCGGCCUCAAAGGGCGUCUCGCUGCAGUCUGGAAAGGUCUUCAGGUUGUCCUUGCUCAGGUAGGAAGCCUGGUCGCCGAUGGUCUGUUCCGCUUUCUGCACCGUGCUGCUCAUCUGACUGCGGCAGCUGUGGAACGUCUUCAGAAGCUCCAGCAGGAUGCUGCACUGCUUCUUACUGCCAGAGGGAGGGAAGGAGGGAGGGAGAGGACCUUAAGGGGGCUUUCAGCUUCUUCAUAGCUUUAUCCAUUGGUACACAGUUCAUUCGACUGAGCAGAGCACUUUCUAUCUCUCCACUCUCACCCACCUGUCAGAAUAAGCUCUCUGGGUCUCCUUCCACUGAGCCUCCAGCUCCUGGAGGAGGUGCUCUCCUCCCCCCUGUUCCUCCUGAAGUUCCCGGAGGUUCUGGAGCUCUGCACGCUGAGCCUGCAGCUGACUCUCCAAAUCCGACAGGGCCCGAAGCCUGGACGAUAUUACAUUACAAUACAUUACAUAUAUCACCAUCCAGAUUUAACUCUUUAUUCGUCUUAAAUGUGGCUGGUGGAAAAGUGAUCCACACAAGAGAGGCGAAUCAGCUGAUGGACACACGAAUAAAUACUAGCUUUGGGUGUGUAAAACAAAUAGUUGACACAUGCAUACAUACACAGGAUAGAAUAAACCCCCACAACCCCCCUCAUCCGUUCCUUACCUGUAAAAACCAUUUAAACAAAAUGUAUAAAGAUACAAUUGAAUAG
ensembl:lncRNA